GCAGAGGUUGCAGUGAGCCAAGUUUGCGCUGCUGCACUCCAGGCUGGGCGACAGAGCGAGACUCUGACUCAGAAAAAAAAAAAAAACAAGUCAACAAAAACAUUAAUGGAAAAAGGACUCCCAAUUUAACAAACAGUACUGGAAUAAUUGGCUAGAAGAUUGAAACUGGACUCCUUCCUUUUACCACAUACGAAAAUCAACUCAAGAUGGAUUAAAGACUUAAAUGUAAAACCUAAAACUAUGAAAACCCAGAAGAAAACCUAGAUUUCAUGCAGACUGUAAAAGCAAUUGCAACAAAAACUAACAAGUGGAACCUAAGUAUAGAGCUUCUGCACGUCAAAAGAAAUUAUCAACAGACUGCACAUCAAAAGAAAUUAUCAACAGACAACCUACAGAAUGGGAGAAAAUAUUUGCCAACUAUGCACCCAACAAAGGUCCAACAUCCACAAUCCACAGUUCCUGUCUCAUGUUCCCCUACCUUUUCUGAUUGUGGGUCUUAAUACCCUCCCAUGAGAGGGUCCCACCCUAUACCCUGUGGGAAGAAAUGAUAAUGUCAUGAAGCUUCCAUAAAAACCCAAGAAGAGAGGGUUCAGUAAGCUUCCAGAUAGCUGAACAUGUAUAGGGCAAGAGGAAGGUGAAGAAGAACUCUUCCAUGUACAGGGAGGGUCGUGCACCCCAUCUCCACAGGGUCAGAAGCUCCAGUGCUUGGGACCUUUCCAGACCUCACCCUAUGUACCUCUUUAUCUGGCUAUUUAUCUGUAUCCUUUAAAAUAUCCUUCUUAGUAAACGUGUUUCUCUGAGUUCUGUGAACAGCCCCAACAAAUUAAUCGAACCCAAAGAGGGGGUUGUGGGAAUCUCAACUUGAUGUGUGUGUCAGAAGUUCCGGAAACCUGGGCUUGCAACUGGUGGGGAAAGGAGGGAGCAGUCUUGGGGAAGGAGCCCUCAACCUGUGGGAUCUGGCACUACACCUCCAGGUAGAUAGUGUCAGAAUUGAACUGGAGGAUACCUGGCUGGUGUCCACUGCUUGGUGGUGGGGAGAGACCCCCCCACACACAUUUGGUCACAGGAGUUUUCUUUGCAUAAAUGACUGCUGUGGUGUGAGAGUAGAGGAAAAACACAGAGUUUUCCCCACACAAUAAGAACUGAAAUUAACAACAACCACAUAACCCCAUUAAAAAAUGGGCAAAGGACAUGAACAGACACUUCUCAAAAGACAAAUAUGUGGCCAACAAACAUGAAAAAAUGCUCAAAGUCAAUAAUCAUUAGAGAAAUGCAAAUCAAAGCAACAAUGAGAUAUCAUCUCACACCAGUCAGAACAUUAUUAAAAAGUCAAAAAACAGCAGAUGCUGGUGAGGGUGCAGAGAAAAGAGAAUGCUUAUACACUGCUGGUGGGAAAGUAAAUUAGUACCGCCACUGAAGAAAGCAGUUUGGAGAUUUCUCAAAGAACUACAAUUUGACCCAGCAAUCUAUUACUGAGUUUGUAUACCUAAAGGAAUAUAAAUACCCAAAGGAGUGUAAAUCAUUCUAUUAUAAAGACACAUGCACAUAUAUGUUCAUUGCAGCACUAUUCAUAAUAGCAAAGACAUGGAAUCAACCUAAAUGCCCAAGAAUGAUAGGCUGGAUAAAGAAAAUGUGGUACAGACAACACCACAGAAUACUAUGCAGCCAUAAAAAAGAACAAGAUCAUGUCCUCUGCAGGAACAUGGAUGGAGCUGGAAGUCAUCCUUAGCAAACACAUACAGGAACAGAAAACGAAAUACCACAUGUUCUCACUUAUAAGUGGAAGCUAAACAUUAAGUACACAUGGAUACAAGGCAAAUAUAGAUACGCAGGCCUACUUAGGGGUGGAGGAUGGAAGGAGGGUGAGGAUCAAAAAACUAUUUAUUGGGUACUAUGCUUAUCACCUGGGUGACUAAUCUGUACGCCAAACCCCCAUGACACAUAAUUUACCCAUGUAACAAAUGUGCCCAUGUGCCCCCUAAGUCUAAAAACAAAAGUUGGAAAGAAAACAAAAAGAAAAAAACUAUGCCAGGUGAACAUUAACCAAAAGAAAACUAGCAUGGCUAAAUUAAUCUCAAGGUAAAUUUCACAACAAAUAACAUUAUCUGCAAUUAAAAAGAUCAUUUCAUAAUGAUGAAGGGGUCAAUUUAUAAAGAUGUAAAAAUGCUAAAUAUUUAUGUACCUAGUAAGACAGCUUCAAAACACAUGAAGCUAAAUAUGAUACAAAUAUAAGAAAAAACUGCUUUAAUCCAUGAUUGUAUUCAGAUAUUUCACUAUCCCUCUCUGUUACUGACAGAACAAGUAAGCAAAAAAUCAACAGACAUGGAAACUUGAACACUGUCAACCAACCUGACCUAACUGACACUUGAAGAACACACUACUCAACAACAGCAGAAUGCACUUUCUUUUCAAAUAUAAACAAAACAUUUUCCAAGACGUAUUUUGUCAUAAAACAAGUCUCAAUAAAUAAAUGAGGGUCAUACAAAAUGUUUCUUGAGCACAAUGGAAUAAAAAUAGAAGUAACAGAAAGAUCUCUGGAAAAUCCUCCAGGAAGGGAAAAAAAGAAAGGAAAUACUAAGCUAAAUGCUCCAAUGUCAUAAUAUUUAUAUACCCAUAAAAAAGUAAAUACUGAAGAUUUAACCAAAACUUCACUACAAAUAUGUUGGGGGGAAUAGGAGAGGGUGGUAUAAGAAAGCAAAGGCUUUAUAUAUCACAACAAGGUAAAAAAAAAAUGUGUACAACUGAUAAAUCAAAAAGUCAGCAAUAUAUGUAUAUUAAUCAUAAAUAUGGAGAAGUAUAAAUUUAGAUGAAACAGCAGACAGAAUUCAGAGUCAUUGUUUCCUCUUAAUCACUGCAUGUGGGGAAACUUGGAGUAGAAAGGGCAGGGCAUUUUGUUACAUGUAAUAUUUUGACUUUUCAAACUACAUACAUGUAGUACUUUAAUAAAAUACCUUUAAAGAGAUUUCAUCUAUAUCAUCUAAUUUUAUUCCCAGGGAAGGAGGUAUAGUAACCCCCAAUUUGACAAAUGAGGAAACUAAUAUUUCAGGUAAAGUAGCUUGUCCAAAAUCUAAGCCACCACAACUUUUUAAUUUAAUCAUAUAAAUAAUAUAAAUUAUGCCUGUUAUGGCAUCAUCUACACAGAUAAAUAUGAAAAGGAAAAAAAUUAAAUUGUUUUUAAAUCUCAGUUUUAUUUCUGGAAAUAUUUUUAUUUUCUGCUCUCUACUAUAGAUGACUAGUUUACUGUCACAGAACAAGAUGAAAUAUUCACACUUAACCUCCUGUUAACAGAUUUUUAAAAGAAAUUUGAACAAAGAAAGAUUUUGGCAAGUGUAAAGAACAAAACUGUACUCAAAAGUAAACACUAUUUUAAUCAUUAUCUUUAACUGGGGUUAGGUGCACAUAACAUAAAAUUUACCAUCUUAACCGUUUUUAAUCGUACAGUUCCAGUGGCAUUAAGUACAUUCACGUUGUUGUGCAACUACUGCCACUAACAUCCAUCUCCAGAGCUUUAACAUCCAUCUCCAGAGCUUUUUUUCAUCUUCCCAAAUUGACUUUCUUUAUCCAUUAAACAACUCUCCAGUUCCCCCACCCUCUAGCCCCUGGAAACCACCAUUCUAUUUGUCUCUAUGAAUAUGACUACUGUAGGUACGUCACGUAAGCAGAAUAAAUAGUAUUUGUUCUUUUUGUGACUGGCUUAUUUCACUUAGCAUAAUGUUGUCAAGGUUCAUUCACGCUAUAGCAAAAACACUUGUUAAAAGCCAGUUUCCAAAACAGCAUAAACAUCAAUUAUUUGAUAAUGCUGUGAGAAAUUAAGGCACUGGUGAAUUCAAGGGAAAUUAGUAAAAAAAUUAAUGCUUCCCUCUCCCCCAACCCUGAUCAGGACACCAAAAAGGGGGAAAAAAAUAGGUCACAAUUUUAAACUAUUGAGAAAGGGUAUCCUGGUAACUUUACAGUGUGCAUGAAGGAAUGGGGGGAAAAAUUGUAAUUUUGUGUUUUGAAAAACCCAAUUACUUUUCUAAGGUUGUUGCUCUUUUGAGCUGUGCGACAAAGGCCUAUAGGGAAGGGCUUCUCUAAAUGUAAACUAGGUCUGUGUUUUCCUUCUUAAGGGUGGAGCCAUGCAAAAGACAAAAGCGCUAAUAAUGUCAGAUGUUCACAAAACCUUGAGUCAUGGUAAGUAUCUUAUAAAUCAGAAGUGAAAUAGCCUCCAUUCAGUCACAUAGAGAUCAGGUAGGAAAUACAAGACACUUGACCUUUACAGUGUACUUUGAAAAGGUUCCCUUGGUUGCAGUUUUUAAAAAACAGACUUGUAUGCUUUUACAUUCCCCAUUAUUCUCUCACUCUGAACCUCCACAAUGAAUACCCUGUAUUUAUGUCCAUCUAAAAUUCAGACAGAAGUCCUAGGCAGCCUUUCAAUGGAGCCACUAAACAAACCACACCAACCCUUUAAGACACCAAAAACACCACUCUGAUGUUAGGGUGGGGUUGUUUCUCUGAAUUUUAAUUUAUAAUGCAACUAGAAUCACUGACCAAAUUUUAACAAGAAGUGGUGACCAGCAGUGCCUCAGGUAUCCAGGUGUCUGAUAAGCACUCAAGCAAGAGCUGUGCUUUUCAUAAACUCAGAGUAUUGACACCAAAAAAGGAAAAAGUCUGCUAAAACAAAGUCAGGUAUUUUAUAUGACAACUAUAUAAAACAGUGUUUUAGACAAGACAUUCAUUUUUGCUUUAUAAAGAUUAAACCAUAUGGUGUGUCCAAAAAUAAAUUACCACUGAUAACUAAAAUAAGACUAUGUCGGCCGGGUGCCAUGGCUCACACCUAUAAUCCUAACACUUUGGGAGGCCAAGGCAGGUGGAUCACUGGAGUUCAGGAGUUCGAGACUAGACUAGCCAACAUGGCAAAACCUCAUCUCUACUAAAAAUACAAAAAUUAGCUGGGCAUGGUGGUGCAGGGAGGCUGAAGCAGGAGAACUGUUUGAACCGGAGAGGCAGAGGUUGCAGUGAGCCAAGACUGCACCACUGCAAUCCACCCUGGGAGACAGAGCGAGACUCUGUCUUGAAAAAAAGACUAUGUCAAUGAUCUUCCAAUGCAAAAUUUCCCAUUGUCCAAAAUUAUCUGCCUCCACGUGGUAUUUUUCCAGAAUACCAUAUAGUUUCCCCCAAGCCCUGAGACAGGAAUAAUACAGGGUGGUUGAAGGGGAAAAGAAAAUUCCAGGCAGCAGUUUCACAUGACUAGCAAAAAGGAAACUGUUGAAAUACAUACAUAAGCUAGGAGCCAAGAAGACCCUGAAAAGCAGAGUGUGGGUUAAGCUAGCUAAGACGAAGUGGACCCAACAUGGCACUGGAUUUGACCUAGGUUUCACCUAGGACCUCAUUAUAUGCUCAUUAACAUACUAAAUCACACCCACCAAUGCCAAGACAGUUCCGGGAGCACCCAUACUGGUGUAAAAAUGGGUGGCACUAAAGUUGAGAAAUUUUCACCUUUUUCCAGAAAUCUUCAUGAAUACUCCACCCCUUGAUUAAAGAAACCCAUACAGAUAGAAGCCAAACCCUGUCUGGAGUAUGCUCGCACUCCCCUUUCUUGAGCAUGUACUUUUCAUUUUGCAAUAAAUCUUAGUACAUUUCACUAUUUUCCAACUCAUCCUUGAAUUCCUACUGAAGACACUGUCAAGAGCCUGACCAUUGAUCAGAGUUGAUGUCCCACUGGCAUUUAGGGACCUCCCCCAGCCCACUGGUAUCAGCCCAAAAGAAAAAAUAUUAAAUACUUAGUAUUGUCAUUACUUAAGUUCUCAAAUUGCUACCCAAGUUAUAUGAAGCACCUUUCUCCACGUGAUAUACGCUGUAGGUCAAAACACAAGACCUCAGUCAUCACAAAAGAAAAACCGAUUUAGUAGUUUUGCCUUUCCCAUUCAAUGAAGACAAAUUUUGGCCUAAGGGAAGCAUACACACAGUUUUUUCUCUUUUCUUUUUUUAGGCUCCUCCUCUUGUAGGGCCAUGUAGGGAUUUUGAGAAAAGAAUUUUGUCUCUGUGAUAUUUUAUAAACCCAGGCUACUUGAUAGAGGGACACUAUAAAAAAGAUCCAUUUCCACAGAGUAUGUAUCUUAGAACAUGAAACACUUUAUCAUGGGUUUUUUAAAAAUCUAUAAUAAAGAUUUUCAUCAAGUUUGGGGAAAUUUCUUUAAGGUACUAAUGAUGCAGAUAGUGUUUUUGGACGUUUUAGUUCUUCUUGUAAUUGCUAUAUGGUAUAAAAUCUCAUAUAAAAUCCAACUGUCAUAUUUAAAUAAAAAUUUUAAUUAAAAAUUAUAAUCAACACAUCUAAAUAACUGUAUGCAUGUGCAUAAACCCACAUACACACAAAUACACAAAAAUUUGACAACUGUAUCAACUCUACAGAACAAUGAAUGUUUACCUGCAAGACUAACAGCACCUGAAUUAAGAGAUAGUAAACAGAAAAAGGCAUACAAUCCUAAAGCAGUAUCUACAAAUUAAAGGGUUGUUGCAACUUUGUUAUAGAUUUAUUUCUAGUCUCAUCUUCAAGAUUACUAAUAUAGCAUGUAACACUGGAAGGAGAAAGGAAACUGAGGUUGAAGUAUGCAAAUAAAAGAUGAAAUAAUAAGCCACUUUACCCUCACCACUUCAGUUUACUUUGAAACUCAUUAAUUCAGUAGACAUUUGGACUGAGUACCAGUGUUUUGGUAAGAAAAGGGCUCUAAAAUUCUUUCCACUCAAAUAUUCUAUGAUCAUCAUUUACUAAUAUCACAUGAUUAAUGGGAUUCGCACUUCUAGAGUUCCUAAAAGCAAAACCAGUGUUUACAAAUACUUAUGAUGCACACUGAGUAACAGGUAUAGGAGAAAUGAAUAACCCAGCUUUCAGUUGCCAUUGGAAGCCUGGGACCUGCAUGAAAAUAAUUUUUGAGAAAGAUUUCCUGACAUUAAUUUGUGCUUCAGGCAUGGAAAUUAACAGCUACUGGAUCCUAAAACAUAUGAGUUAAGGAAAACACUGUCACUUUAUGCAAAGCUGGAAAAUACAGUGUUCUCUACAGAUAUCAAACAUUUUUAAACAAAAUUCAAUCUCCUGGACUGUCAGUUUAGCUACAGGUUAAAACAGUGUUGAGGAGAAGAUGGAAGCACAUUUAAACUUUAAUAUCUUUACUCAGAAAACUGAACAAUUUAAAGUACUAGCAAUAUGGAGGUUAAUCUUCAAAUCUGAAGUACAGGGCAUUUAGUAAUACUGUUACAAUGAUCGUCUCUUCAAACCAGCAGUAGGGCUUGCAAGACUUUCCCAGUACAAUGUUAGAAAUGCCUAUGUUUAGUUUCACUUAGUCCAAUUAACUGGCCUCCUCUACUACAGACAUCAUUUUUCUAGAAACCUUUUUUUUCAACAUGAUACUCCUACAUACUUUUUAAUUGAACUGUUCUACAGAAAUGCAUUCCUUUUGUUCUCUCUUGUUUGCAUAGGUUAAUACAUGCUAUAAUGUUGUCUAAACCUGUCACCAAGUCUUUCUACGUCUAGCUUUCCCUUGGAUGUCUUUAUUUCAAAGUUUUUGAUACAGUCCCACUUUUUCUUCAAAGUAAGUUUUAUGUUUUCCUUAUUCCAAUGAUGAAUUACAGUUUAUCUGCUAUAUCAGCUAAAAAGAGAACUCUAUUUUUAGGGUAGAUGCAAAUACAAUAACAGAAGUAACUGAUGAAGUGUCUCUCUAUGACGUGAAUUAGUAAACUAUUAGCCUAUGGUCUAUUCAGAAACAUCUGUGCUAUAAAUAUUUGGUGAAAGUGCAGCUAAACUUCCAAAUAGCCUUAAGUCAUUGAUGGCUCAAAAUUCAAUUAUCUGAAAAUAAUAUUCCCACAAGAUUGUAGAAGCUUACAUUCACCUUCAUAAUUUUUAAGUAUCUCUGGGGGAAGGAGUGUCACCACUAAAUUGAAAACUUGGCUUGAUAUAUUAUAAAAAUAAAAAGAGGCUGACAUAUCUAUUGGUUUCAUAUACCCUCACCUUCCUAAACAUGAACAAAUUCAAAAUUCAGCAGCAGCCAUUGGUUCAAUAUUCAUAAAUUUACAGAAUUUUGCUAACAUGUCUCAAAUGAUCAUGAAGGAAAAAAGUACAUUUUUAAUGACAAACUUUUAAAUUUAUUUAGUUACCUUAAGAAACUUGUAAAACCACAUUUUAUGGAGGUAAACUUUACCCUUCUUUUCAAAGAAAAAAAAAUAUAUAUAUAUGAUCUUUUAUAAUGGCUCUUCUUUGUGAGUCAAAGGGUUAAAACCAUCUCUUUUAUUCCCAAAUGAGUAUCAGCACCAUUCAGAGGUGCCAUGUUUUAUUUAAAACAUACUCUUACUCAGUAACCACUUUGUUCUAAUUGGCAAGGCAAAGCCAGGUCCCUAAAGCACACAGCCCAUUACAUUCAGUUUGGAUUAAAAAACACAGGAUGAAACAAACGGCAUCGAAAUGUACAAAUUAACAGCUCAGGAGUAUGGGACAGAGAGGUGGAAUUAGAUUGUAAUAUGGAACAAAACCCACAGGGAAGCUGGGGAACAAAUCACUAGUGUCUCUAUAAACUAUACAAGGUUUCCAAAUGAGCAAAUACACAAAGCAAAGGACAGGCUUUUCCAUAACUCAACCAAACUGAUAAAUAUGGAUACAACAAAACAGGAGUUUUUUUCCAUACUAUUAUUAUGCACACAUGUAUGAGAGAACGGGAGUACCAACUGGAAGGUUUAACAAAUGAAAUCUGCAGGUUGCACAGUCUAAAUACGAAAUUCAUCUUUGCUUUCACACUGACAAUGUGCAAACAGCCUUGCAAUUAAAUCACACUUCCAAACAUUUUCAAAAAAAUUCUUCUGAGAAGCUAAACACAGGAGACUAAAUAGAAAUGGUGCUUCACUACGCAGCACAGAGAGCAAGGUUAAUGAGCUAAAAGUCAUAUGAACAAGAACAAGAAAGAUGUUAAGAAAUGAAGAUCUCACCACCAAAACAGAAAAUGUGUUAGACAAAAACACUCCCCCCACCACAUAUGCACACCUUUUCCUAAAUUAGCUACUCUUGUGAAGCUUUCAGCACUGUUUCUCUGAUUAUGAGGGGAUCUAGAGGCAAACUACAACUGAACUAAAAGAAAAGAGCAGAAGAAAAGAGAAUACUCCUACACACAAAUGCAAAACAAUGUUACUGUUACAUCCUCACAGUACAAUCCCGACUAAUCUAUUUAGCUUUGGUUUUCACAGUACAAUUCCAUCUAAGUCUACUACUUUCAUCCUAAUAACAUCAAACAGUGGAGAUUAGAUCCAAGUCUAAACUUCCAUUGAUCAAAUCUCAGUUCUUUAAAAUUUAUUUAAUCUUGGGAACAUGAGUUAACCCAUUUGAGUCAGUUUCCUUAUCUGUAAAAUGGAGCUAUAAAAUCACCAACAUUGUAAGAAUCAAAUGUGAUAAUAUUGUAUUAAAGGACUUCAUAAUAUAAAAGGGCUGCAGCAAUCUUAGUUACAAUUGCAAUUAUUUCAUUUCAGGAUUUUACUGCCUUUAAAAACAAAAACAAACAAAAACCCAUGUAAUUGUCUAUGCCUUUCCUCUCUUUUUUCACAAAAACUAAUUCUUGUUCCACUACUAAAAUAUCUGUCUUUCAGCAUUCUCCAUUUAAGAUUAUGUGUCAUUUUUCUUUUUCUUCAAGCCGGAAGUCUUAAGGUAUUUUUUCUUCUCUCUCCCCAAUAUUUAGUUUAAAAGUAAAUUAAGAAAUGUAAAACAACCUUUGAUAAUAGUUAAAAUUGUCACUCUCUCUUUCUUGCUCCUGCUUUUGCCAUGUGAUAUGCAAGUUCUUGCUUGGCCUUCUGCCAUCACUGGGAACUUCCAGAGACCUCCCCAGAAGCAGAUGCCAGUACUAUGCUUCCUGUACAGCCUGCAGAACUGUGAGCCAAUCAAACCUCUUUUCUUUAUAAAUUAAAAAAAAAAUAGUUAAGACUGUUAACAUACAGUUAGAUCUACUUUACACUGCAAGAACCAGCUAAGCACUGAAGCUUUUAAAGGGUAUAAAAUUUUAUAGCAUGAAAGAUGAUAUUUUAGUCAUACAUUAAUGGCCCAAAAAUAAUGUCCCAUCUUUUUACUCAUCAUCCCUACUGUGGACUAAGAAUUAAGUACAAGUGGGUAUUAUAUCCAGGAAAAAUGUCAAAAAGCAACCUCAUCAUAAUCUUCUAAUUCACACACAAAGGCAACAGCCAGAACAAGAAUUACGCUAAGUAUCUGAAACUUGGUGGAGCCAAAGCCUCUGAAGCACAAAACAGUCCCGUGCUUUUCUGAGUCUAUCUGAAAGUUAUCCAUAUUCCUGACAAGUCUAAAAGGGAGCCCAUAAACCUAAGCCUGGUCAUUCUGAUACAGUAGCCUGUAUUAGUCUACUGAGGAUAUGAAACAUAGGGAAUAUUACCAAUUAACUCCCCACACUGCCCGCCUCCCCACCCCGAGACAGAGCCUUGCUCUGUCGCCCAGGCUGGAGUGCAGUGGCACAAUCUCAGCUCACUGCAACCUCCACCUCACAGGUUUAAGUGAUUCUCCUGCCUCAGUUUCCGGAGUAGCUGGGAUUACAGGCGUGCACCACCACUCCCAGCUAAUUUUUAUAUUUUUAGUAGAGAUGGGGUUUCACCAUGUUGGCCAGGCUGGUCUCAAACUCCUGACCUCGUGAUCCGCCCGCCUAAGCCUCCCGAAGUGUUGGGAUUACAGGUGUGAGCCACCGUUCCUGGCCUUAACUCUUAUACUACUUUUCAUGUCACAGAGGGUCGUCUAAUUACAUGAAAAGAGGCCAACUGUAUCCAACCCAAACAGUUCUCUAAACUAGAAGUCUCCAAGCUUUGAUAAAGGUGUACCAUCAGCAUAAAAUUUGAGUGCACAUCUCUUCCAUUUCUGUUUUAAAAGUAGUUACAUAUUCCCGUAGUGGACUGAAUGAUGCACCCUGUCCCUGUCCCCACCUCCCAAAAUAUGUCCACCCAGAAUCUGUGAAUGUGAUAAUUUUGGGAAAAAAAGCUUCUGCAGAUGUAAUUAAGUUAAGGAUUUCCAGAUGAGAUAAUCCGGGAUAAGACUGAGCCAAUGACAACUGUCCUUAGAGGAGACAGAAGAGGGAAAGAUAGAGACUCACAGGGGAGAAGGCCAUGUGGAUGAAGCAGAGACUAGAAUGAUAUGUCUAUGAGCAAAGGAAUGCCAAGAACUAUUGACAAGCCAGAAACAAGCAGCAGCAUGGAAUGAAUUCUCCCUCAAAGGUUCUAGAGGAAACCAACCCUGCCAUUACCUUGGUUUUAGACUUCUGGCCUCCAGAACUGUGAGAGAAUAAACUUCUGUUGUUUUAAACCACCAAGUGUAUGGCAAUUUGUUGUGGCAACCCUAGGAAACUAAUACAGAUACCAAUGAGAUUAUGUAUACAGGACAAAAAUAAACACAAGUAGGAAUUCUAACAUUUUCUCUCUAUGCCACAAUGGAUAAUCCUGUCUACCACAAAGAGACUACAGCUUUAGACCAACAAGAGGGAAGAAAUAAAGCCAAGUGACAGACUAAACUAUCUUAAAAGACCUAGUAACUACUAAAUUUCUUCCAUUUUCCCUAUCAUACUCUAACACAUGGUCACAAUUUUCCCACUUGAGGCCUGAAAGAAGCCACCUCUCAGCUAUUUCACAGCACUGAGCACUGUUUCCCGUUAGAAAUGCAACAAUUAUUUUUGACAUAAUUUCCAUAACAUCAUCAUCAUCAUCAUCUUUAACACACUGCUUCAUGUAUCUUGACUAGCAUAAUAAUUAACCACACAAUUUAAGAAUGCUUAUUAGUAAGACAUCAAACUGCUAUAGACUAAGAGAUUAGAAAAGGCUGCCACAGUCCAGCACUGCUAAUCCGUUAAGGAACUGUUGCCCGAGUCUUGCUUGCAUUUCAGAGUAAGGGAGGCUACACCAUAAAGAACAGAGUUUCCUACAGAAACAUUCUUUUAACAUAGUCAAGCAAGUGCUGAAAAAAAGAGAGAGAGAAAACACAGGAUUGCAACUGUGGUAUAAAAAUGGCCACUGAAAACAAAUGUCCCUCUACAGGGGACUAGAUAAAUAAAUUAGGGCACAUUAUAAUGAAGGUGACCAAUUAAUGUAUCAAACAAAUUGGUACACUUACAAUAGUACCAGUUUGGUACAAAGAGGUACUAUUAGUAUUUUCACUGGCACAAAAUGCAUAAACGGAGAUUGUUCUAGGUAAAUCUAGACAUUAAUUAUAAUGGAAUAUUAUAGUUAAAAUGAACAAGAGCAACGUGUCAACAUGAUUAGUUUCUAAAAGCAUUAUUUAAAAGAAUACAGGUUGUAGACUAGUACAAAAUACCAUUUAAACAUUUUAAAAACAGAAUCAUAACAAUAUUUAUAUAAAUGCCCAUUCAUAAUAAAAAGUGUAAAUACAAGGAUAAGAAGGAGAGUAGUUGUCUCUGAGUUGGGAAGAUGAUGACUAGGGUAAAAGAAAACUGUGACAUUUUAGUGCCCUUUUUAGUGUGAUAAGAAAAAAGGCAAAACAUUAACAUUUGUUACUUCUGGGUGGGUUUGUGGAUAUUCUGAAUGUCAGACACCCAACCAUCCAACAGAUACCUACCAACAGACACAUAAUGGUUAAGAAGAGCCUGGUAAGUUGAGCUGUCCCCUUUUAACAAACACAUGACCAAAAUGUGUGUGUGUGUUACACGAGAAAUCCCUCUUGGGCGUCUGGCUUAGAAGAAAUCAAAGAGUAUACAAAAGCAAUCAAGUCAAAAAGAUUACAAAAACAGAAAUACUCUAUUCAAACACUUCGUCUUAAGAGCAGCAGUUACUUUUUUUGCCUUUUUUUUUUUUUUUUUUUUGAGACGGAGUCUCGCUCUGUCGCUAGGCUGGAGUACAGCAGCGUGAUCUCGGCUCACUGCAACCUCCGACUCCCUGGUUCAAGCGAUUCUUCUGCCUCAGCCUCCCAAGUAGCUGGAAUUACAGGCAUGUGCCACCAGGCCCAGCUAAUUUUUGUAUUUUUAGUAGAGACGGGGUUUCACCAUGUUGGCCAGGUUGGUCUCGAUCUCCUGACCUCAUGAUCCGCCCACCUCAGCCUUCCAAAGUGUUAGGAUUACAGGCAUGAGCCACUGUGCCUGGCCAACAGUUGCUUUCUUUUGGGAAAAGGUGAAUUCAAAAAAUCAAGGUAUGACAAGCUUACAAAUUCCACUAUCCUGCAAAAUUUUUUGUAUUGAAAUUGGUAAUUUGUUUCUACAUUAUUUGUGCAGAGUUCCUACAUUUCUAAAAGGAAAAUAUAUGAGCUUAAAAUUUGUCAGACUCACUCUGUUUCUCUUACUGUAAAGCCUCAAAAUUCAGCUGUAACCUACAACUCUUUGCUUUUCAAAAGUGACUAGAAUCAGACCACUUUUACUCUGGUAUUCUAACAGGAAAUGAAAGCAGGAAAGAGAUUAGUAUGUAACUGCAACCACUAAGUUGCAAGUUCAUAAGGAAAUAUUUUAAUUUACUUGGUAUGAAAUGGGAAUUUGUUAUCCUCUUCUGGAACUAUCAUGAAACUCAAGUCACUUUCAAGAAAAAUGUUAGCAUUUUGGCUUAUCUACCAUUUCACCCUGCGCCCAGCAUUGUUAUAUCACUCACCUUAGAUGUCAACACUUAGAUUCCCAAUGCUGCAGGCGAUAGCUAAUUUUAUUUUGCUCAUUCCAGAAAGAAACAAACCACUUCUAGAUUGUAUAAAUUCACUUCACUUUUUAAACAUUUGUAAUUUGUGCAAUUACAUUAAUACUUAAAUCUGAAAACACAGACAAAAUUAAAAUUUAAAGCUCCCCAAUUACUCUUACUCUGAGACUACCACAAUUAAAUUUUUCAUGUCAUCUUCCAGCUUUAUCUCAUGCAACUAUACACUUGUACAUCAUAUGUGAACCACGUGAUAGCAAAUUUCUUAAAAGUUAGUCUUAAAUGAAACAGUAUGUUUAAAUAUACCAUGUCUACGGUUUAUUAAAAAUUAAGUAUGCACACAUUUAAAAGUCCACCGACCAAGUGGUAUUCUGAACACUGUGGAACAUAUAUUAAGUUUGCCUUAUGAUAAGCAUCUGUCAUCAGAGCUACUCCAACAACCUUCCAUUUCUUAAACAUAUCUUCUGACUCACUGCCUUAUAAAGUAUACAAUGAUCAACAGGUUAUAGCUACUUUCUAGUCACCAUACUCCUCUCUUCUCCCAAAACUAGUAUUUCCAAGGGUUUGUGGGGGAUAGAGAUGGUGUCACAUUAGUAGAGGAGUUACUUCAGUCAGUUCUUUUAAAAUUUCUGCCUUCCCCACUUGUGAUCAUCCUCUUUGAUGCUUCUGCCAUCCACACUUCUAUUUAGGAGGUCAGCAAAACCAUUCUGUGAAAAGCACUGCUUUAAUGAUAGCUGGCCUUCAGUAUGCUAGAACAAGAGGUCAUCAUGAAUUAGGUACUAACUAUUCCUAAAUAUUAAACACUGGUCAACUAAAAUGCACAAAUUCAUGAAUUGGAUUUGCACUCAAACAAAAAAAAAUACCAUAGGCAGUAUCAUUUCUACCUUUGUAAGAGGCAGGAAUAUUCAUUAGACUCUAUGCUUGACUUUUCAUAUGUAUUUUAACACUGUAGUAGGCUAUCGGGUCUAGUUUAAGCUUCAUUUCUAAACUACUCAACAGCUCAGAACUGACAAAGAUCACAAGAAAUCAACUAUUAACCUCUUGCCUGAAGACACAAAUGAAAUAUUCCCUAUUUUACAAAGCAAAUUAGAUUCCAAGAUUUUCCAAAGCCAUACUCCUGCAGUUCACUGGGUUUCAAACUUAAAAUCAUAAUAGUAAUAUACACAUAUUUACAUUAUAACCCAUUACACAUUAUUUUCAACUCAAUGCAAGUCAAACAAAGGUUUCACAAAAUAACUUUACUAUGUGCAAUACACUGAUAUUUUCUAUUCUACUCAGAAUUUUUUAAAUACUAAUCAUGACCCAUUAAAUUGUCUACCCACUAAUGAGUGACAAUACCCAGUUUGAAAAACUGCAUUAAGAGGUAGUAUUUCAACCAAUAAAUGUUAAUUUGCCAUAACUAUGUCAUAAAAUUUUCUCGCUUUUUAUAUUCAUUUACUUAUUUAAGUAAAAUCAUAUAUAAAACAAUAUAAAAAUAUUUAAUGAAAGGACAGUGUGACAGGUAGAAUAUUAUCAAGGGGGUAAGAAAAGCCAAAAUUAGGCCAUAAGAGAUCCUCAGACCAGCUCUGAUAAUUGGAAAGAUUUGUGGCAAAAUCAAUUGAUAACUCAUGUCCCAGGGUGCUUACAUACCAUCCUUUUCAAUAGUUUAGAAAGUCUCCACAACUUCAAAAUGCAAAGCUGUUAAGCAAAACCUUUCUUUAGCAAUAAUAUAAAAAUAAUCAACACUUUUGACUGGGAAGAAUUAUAUAUCAACUAAAAGGUCCUUAUGCAAACUCCAGGAAUUUCAGGCUUCUCUACCUACACAAUAGUCUUAGACUUGAGAGAUAUAGAUCCACAUUUCCAAACAAAUGUACUGAAUUGUAAUUUGAGAAAAGAAAAUACAGAAUAUGUGAAAGGGGGACUGACGGGGAAGGUAGAAAAAUAACAAAUAGGAAUUCUUACAGGAAUGGAGAGAAUAUAGUAUGGUAAGAUUAACUUUUGCUUUUUUUUUUUUUUUUUUUUUUUUUUGAGACAGAGUCUCACUCUGUUGCCCAGGCUGGAAUGCAGUGGCACAAUCUCAGCUCACUGCAACCUCCACCCACCGGGUUCAAGUGAUUCUCCUGCCUCAGCCUCCCGAGUAGCUGGGACUACAGGCAUGCACCACUACACUCAGCUAAUUUUUUUGUAUUUUUAGUAGAGACAGGGUUUCACCAUGUUGGUUAGGCUAGUCUCGAACUCCUGACCUCAAAUGAUCCAUCCACCCACCUGGGGCCUCCCAAAGUCCUGGGAUUACAGGCGUGAGCCACCGGGUCUGGACUUUUUUUUUUUUUUUUUUUUAAAUAGACUAAAUGACCUCAGAUAAAGAGAAUGUAGAUGAGCAAUUUAAGUCCACUUUACCUCAAAUCCUAAUACUUGAGUCAAUCACUUCCUGGUACUUCCCCAGAAUACUUAACUGUAAGUGUCGUAGUUAUCCUGGCAUAGAAAAUAUUGGAUGAUAAAGGUUUCUAGGUCAAGGCCUUUCUCUUAAGACUGAGAAAGAAGUAUACUUAAAUGUCUUUGUGAAGAAAAGUCCUUUGGAAUCGCUUGAACCCGGGAGGCAGAGGCUGCAGUGAGCUGAGAUGGCACCACUGCACUCCAGCCAGGGCUACAGAGCCAGAUUCCGUCUCAAAAAAAAAAAAGGGCCG
rnacentral:lncRNA from 10 species